rnacentral:rRNA from 1 species
GCUUGCUAGGAGUGGAGAAGGUGUUAACUUAGUGGCGGACGGGUGAGUAACGCGUGGGUAACCUGCCGUAUGCAGGGGGAUAACACUUAGAAAUAGGUGCUAACACCGCAUAAGCGCACGAGAGCGCAUGCUUUUGUGUGAAAAACUCCGGUGGCAUACGAUGGACCCGCGUCUGAUUAGCCAGUUGGCAGGGUAACGGCCUACCAAAGCGACGAUCAGUAGCCGGCCUGAGAGGGCGGACGGCCACAUUGGGACUGAGACACGGCCCAAACUCCUACGGGAGGCAGCAGUGGGGGAUAUUGCACAAUGGGGGAAACCCUGAUGCAGCGACGCCGCGUGAGUGAAGAAGUAUUUCGGUAUGUAAAGCUCUAUCAGCAGGGAAGAAGAUGACAGUACCUGAGUAAGAAGCCCCGGCUAACUACGUGCCAGCAGCCGCGGUAAUACGUAGGGGGCAAGCGUUAUCCGGAUUUACUGGGUGUAAAGGGAGCGUAGACGGUUGUAUAAGUCUGGAGUGAAAGCCCGGGGCCCAACCCCGGGACUGCUUUGGAAACUGUGUAACUUGAGUACAGGAGGGGCAGGCGGAAUUCCUGGUGUAGCGGUGAAAUGCGUAGAUAUCAGGAGGAACACCGGCGGCGAAGGCGGCCUGCUGGACUGAAACUGACGUUGAGGCUCGAAAGCGUGGGGAGCAAACAGGAUUAGAUACCCUGGUAGUC